ACGGGUGCGGAACACGUACGCAACCUUCCCAAAACUGGUGAAUAGCCUUUCGAAAGAGAGAUUAAUACACCGUAACUUAAUGAAGUGGCAUCACUUUAUUAAUAUAGCUCCGGCGGUUUUGGAUGGGCGUGCGCCUGAUUAGGUAGUUGGCGGGGUAAUGGCCCACCAAGCCUACGAUCAGUAACUGGUGUGAGAGCACGACCAGUCACACGGGCACUGAGACACGGGCCCGACUCCUACGGGAGGCAGCAGUAAGGAAUAUUGGUCAAUGGACGCAAGUCUGAACCAGCCAUGCCGCGUGGAGGAUGAAGGUCCUCUGGAUUGUAAACUUCUUUUAUCGGAGAAGAAACCCCAGUUUUCUUGCUGGGUUGACGGUACCCGAUGAAUAAGCACCGGCUAACUCCGUGCCAGCAGCCGCGGUAAUACGGAGGGUGCAAGCGUUAUCCGGAUUCACUGGGUUUAAAGGGUGCGUAGGUGGGCUAGUAAGUCCGUGGUGAAAUCCCCGAGCUUAACUCGGGAACUGCCGUGGAUACUAUUAGUCUUGAAUAUCGUGGAGGUAAGCGGAAUAUGUCAUGUAGC
rnacentral:rRNA from 1 species